GACGAACCGUGCGAACGUUAUUCGGAAUCACUGGGCUUAAAGCGCGUGUAGGCGGGAAGGCACGUCUGUCGCUGAAAUCCCCAGGCUUAACCUGGGAACUGCGUCGGAUACUGGAUGGCUUGAAUUCGGGAGAGGGAUGCAGAAUUCCAGGUGUAGCGGUGAAAUGCGUAGAUAUCUGGAGGAAUACCGGUGGCGAAGGCGGCAUCCUGGACCGACAUUGACGCUGAUGAGCGAAAGCUAGGGGAGCAAACGGG
rnacentral:rRNA from 1 species